AACGGGUGAGUAACACGUAGGUAACCUGCCCAUGUGCCCGGGAUAACUUCUGGAAACGGAUGCUAAAACCGGAUAGGUAGCAGACAAGCAUUUGACUGCUAUUAAAGUGGCUAAGGCCAUGAACAUGGAUGGACCUGCGGUGCAUUAGCUAGUUGGUGAGGUAACGGCCCACCAAGCCUUCGAUGGAUAGGGGUUCUGAGAGGAAGGUCCCCCACAUUGGAACUGAGACACGGUCCAAACUCCUACGGGAGGCAGCAUG
rnacentral:rRNA from 1 species